UACGGAGGGUGCAAGCGUUGUCCGGAAUCACUGGGCGUAAAGGGCGCGUAGGCGGCUCAUGAAGGCUGUGGUGAAAGUCCGGGGCUCAACCUCGGAUCGGCCGUGCGAACUGGGCUCACUGGAGCAUAGUAGAGGCAGGUGGAAUUCCGGGUGUAGCGGUGGAAUGCGUAGAGAUCCGGAAGAACACCGGUGGCGAAGGCGGCCUGCUGGGCUAUGGCUGACACUGAGGCGCGACAGCGUGGGGAGCAAACAGG
rnacentral:rRNA from 1 species